rnacentral:tRNA from 1 species
UCUCUGGUAGUAUAUCGGCUAGUACACGCACCUGUCACGCGCGAAAGCUGGGUUCGACUCCCAGCCAGAGAG